rnacentral:rRNA from 1 species
GAUGAACGCUGGCGGCGUGCCUAAUACAUGCAAGUCGAGCGAACAGGCGAGGAGCUUGCUCCUCUGACGUUAGCGGCGGACGGGUGAGUAACACGUGGAUAACCUACCUAUAAGACUGGGAUAACUUCGGGAAACCGGAGCUAAUACCGGAUAAUAUAUUGAACCGCAUGGUUCAAUAGUGAAAGACGGUUUUGCUGUCACUUAUAGAUGGAUCCGCGCCGCAUUAGCUAGUUGGUAAGGUAACGGCUUACCAAGGCAACGAUGCGUAGCCGACCUGAGAGGGUGAUCGGCCACACUGGAACUGAGACACGGUCCAGACUCCUACGGGAGGCAGCAGUAGGGAGUCUUCCGCAAUGGGCGAAAGCCUGACGGAGCAACGCCGCGUGAGUGAUGAAGGUCUUCGGAUCGUAAAACUCUGUUAUUAGGGAAGAACAAAUGUGUAAGUAACUAUGCACGUCUUGACGGUACCUAAUCAGAAAGCCACGGCUAACUACGUG